GUAAAGAGCAUGUAGGCGGCUUAAUAAGUCGAGCGUGAAAAUGCGGGGCUCAACCCCGUAUGGCGCUGGAAACUGUUAGGCUUGAGUGCAGGAGAGGAAAGGGGAAUUCCCAGUGUAGCGGUGAAAUGCGUAGAUAUUGGGAGGAACACCAGUGGCGAAGGCGCCUUUCUGGACUGUGUCUGACGCUGAGAUGCGAAAGCCAGGGUAGCGAACGGGAUUAGAUACCCCGGUAGUCCUGGCCGUAAACGAUGGGUACUAGGUGUAGGAGGUACCGACCCCUUC
rnacentral:rRNA from 1 species